rnacentral:rRNA from 1 species
UACACACCGCCCGUCACACCAUGGGAGUCAGUUGCUCCAGAAAUGGCUACGCUAACCCGCAAGGGGGCAGGCCCUUAAGGAGUAGACUGGUAACUGGGGUG